rnacentral:rRNA from 1 species
CGUGCCUAAUACAUGCAAGUCGAGCGAAUGGAUUAAGAGCUUGCUCUUAUGAAGUUAGCGGCGGACGGGUGAGUAACACGUGGGUAACCUGCCCAUAAGACUGGGAUAACUCCGGGAAACCGGGGCUAAUACCGGAUAAUAUUUUGAACUGCAUGGUUCGAAAUUGAAAGGCGGCUUCGGCUGUCACUUAUGGAUGGACCCGCGUCGCAUUAGCUAGUUGGUGAGGUAACGGCUCACCAAGGCAACGAUGCGUAGCCGACCUGAGAGGGUGAUCGGCCACACUGGGACUGAGACACGGCCCAGACUCCUACGGGAGGCAGCAGUAGGGAAUCUUCCGCAAUGGACGAAAGUCUGACGGAGCAACGCCGCGUGAGUGAUGAAGGCUUUCGGGUCGUAAAACUCUGUUGUUAGGGAAGAACAAGUGCUAGUUGAAUAAGCUGGCACCUUGACGGUACCUAACCAGAAAGCCACGGCUAACUACGUGCCAGCAGCCGCGGUAAUACGUAGGUGGCAAGCGUUAUCCGGAAUUAUUGGGCGUAAAGCGCGCGCAGGUGGUUUCUUAAGUCUGAUGUGAAAGCCCACGGCUCAACCGUGGAGGGUCAUUGGAAACUGGGAGACUUGAGUGCAGAAGAGGAAAGUGGAAUUCCAUGUGUAGCGGUGAAAUGCGUAGAGAUAUGGAGGAACACCAGUGGCGAAGGCGACUUUCUGGUCUGUAACUGACACUGAGGCGCGAAAGCGUGGGGAGCAAACAGGAUUA